rnacentral:rRNA from 1 species
UUCCCAGACUCCUACGGGAGGCAGCAGUGAGGAAUAUUGGUCAAUGGGCUUACGCCUGAACCAGCCAAGUCGCGUGAGGGAAGACUGCCCUAUGGGUUGUAAACCUCUUUUGUCAGGGAGCAACGCCGGCUACGUGUAGCCGGACUGAGAGUACCUGAAGAAAAAGCAUCGGCUAACUCCGUGCCAGCAGCCGCGGUAAUACGUAGGGGGCAAGCGUUAUCCGGAUUUACUGGGUGUAAAGGGAGCGUAGACGGCAUAGCAAGUCUGAAGUGAAAGCCCAAGGCUCAACCAUGGGACUGCUUUGGAAACUGUUAAGCUAGAGUGCUGGAGAGGUAAGCGGAAUUCCUAGUGUAGCGGUGAAAUGCGUAGAUAUUAGGAAGAACACCAGUGGCGAAGGCGGCUUACUGGACAGUAACUGACGUUGAGGCUCGAAAGCGUGGGGAGCAAACAGGAUUAGAUACCCUCGUA